ensembl:lncRNA
AAUGAACUAAAGGCUCAGCCAGAAUAUGCACCUUGUUGAUUAAAUGUUGUAUAUGUAAACAUUGCCAUCAAGGAGAUAAUAUAGUAAUUGAUCUGUUUUUGUGUUGUUUCAGAAUCUCCUACUGUAAAAGUAUCUCCAGAUGUCAUAAGAGAGUCCAGCUCAGUGAAGAUCAGCUGUGAGACUCCAGCAGAUGUUAGAAAGAAUCAGUGUUAUUUCUACACAAACAGAGAAGAGAAGAAUAUAAAAGUCAGAUCAUCAUGUGAGCUCGAGCUCACUGGUGCUGAAGUGCUCAGAUGGGCAGGUGUAAAAUCACCUGAAUCAAUCUACAUUAACUGUUACUACACAAUAAAUGAACGAGGCAUCAAUAAACCAUCAUCUAAUUCUCCUUCUGCCACAGUGACGGUUCUUGGUGAGAUAUUUCACUGCUGUUUAUGUGGUUUGAAACUGUUAUUGCAAUGUUUUUAAUAGCUGUGGACCAUUUCUCUUCAGAUUCACUUCAGAAACCCUUCAUUACUGUUAGUGAUGACCAGCUCAGCAUAUCAUGUGAAAUACCACUUUCAGUCAGAGCUGAUUUCAUCUGUAGUCUCUACACUGAGGAUGAUGUUCUGUAUCAACAUGUCUCUCAUUGGAGUCAGUCUGGAAAGAAUCUUUGUAUGUUUUAUGUAAGUCGUAGUGAACUCUUGACACGAUCAGUGAACAGCAGACAGCUGAUCUGUGUUUAUUCACACAAGACUGAACCUGAGAUCAGAUCACCACACAGUGACACAUACACCCUCAGAGCUUCAACACCAACCACCACUAAACAUACGACUACAACAACAGCCAUGAAAACCUUAGAUGUCCAAUCCAAGACAAGCCCGCCAACCAGCAAAGCAAAGAAAACCCAGACAGCGUUAAAUGUAAUGUCCACUUCUGAAACAACAACAUACAGUAAACCUGUAGAUGUCCAAUCCAAGACAAGCCUGCCAACCAGCAAAGCAAAGAAAACCAAGACAGCGUUAAAUGUAAUGUCCACUUCUGAAACAACAACAUACAGUAAAACUGAACUAUGGUAUAUAGUGCUGGGUUCUACUGGCGUUGCUGUAAUUUUGUCUGGACUCAUCUGUUUCUGUCGGUUUGCAAGUAAAAAAAGAAGAAAACUAAACAAAACAAGAUCAAACAAACCUGAUGUGACCAGUCAAGAGAUUGGUAUGAGCUGUUCUGGACCUGCAGAGACAUACUGUCUGAUCACAUCUGUACCAUCCACAUCUCAGCCCAUAUCUGAAGGCCUCGAACAGGACAGCACAGCAGAUCCCAAAGACAGUUACUCUUUCAUUACUUCUGUCAAUUCAAUUUACCAUUCCCCAGAUGUUUUGGUUAAUAAACAACAGAAACAGGGAAAUACAGAGGAAAAUGAGGUAUGUGUGAACACUGUCACACCCCAAAACCACAUAACCCUCCAUCAUGAACAGAAUACUAACACAUUUAUUUCAUGUGUUUCCUUUAGAAUGUUUAUCACCUGUACUGCACAAUCCCUGACUAACCAGUUCACUCAAACACAGAAGAUCACGUGUACAGUUUGGUGA